rnacentral:rRNA from 1 species
GAUGAACGCUGGCGGCGUGCUUAACACAUGCAAGUCGAACGGAGUGCCUUUGAAAGAGGAUUCGUCCAAUUGAUAAGGUUACUUAGUGGCGGACGGGUGAGUAACGCGUGAGGAACCUGCCUUGGAGUGGGGAAUAACACAGUGAAAAUUGUGCUAAUACCGCAUAAGCCCACAGCUCGGCAUCGAGCAGAGGGAAAAGGAGUGAUCCGCUUUGAGAUGGCCUCGCGUCCGAUUAGCUGGUUGGUGAGGUAACGGCCCACCAAGGCGACGAUCGGUAGCCGGACUGAGAGGUUGACCGGCCACAUUGGGACUGAGAUACGGCCCAG